GUUGAGCAGGCCGGGUCAACUCUCGAACAAAGUUUGGUUAUACCUACGGGGGCUAGACCUGUGGUGUCAUCAUCCAUACGGUUCUACCGUCUGGUAGUUGGAGCAAUAUUAUUAUCGUUAGUAGCUCACGCCUGACAUAAUAUUGUGAUAAAUCUAAUACAUUUUUAGAUUUAAAUAUGACUUUAAUAACUGAAUAAAUACUUUUCUUCUACAAAAAUAUAGAGAGACACUCUCGUUGAAUAUUGUUUUAGUAACGUAUGGGUAAGAUUUUCUAAACGAAGUGUGGCAACCCCAAUUUCUUAAUAAAAAAUAAAAAUGUUAUAAAAUAAAAAUGGCGUCAUUUCACCAAAUAUUUUAGAACACAAAUUCACAAAUAAUAAAAUAAAUGUUUGCCACGGCCUGUUAAUAUUUAUGAAGACCUCUUCAUGGAUUGGAUUUAAGCAACCUGCUGUGUAAUAUCCUCGCCAUUCUUGAUGUUGAGAAGAUCUAUAAGUCUUUUACGUUUCAUCUGAGUGUUGUGGUUUUUCAUUAUGUUAAAAAUAAGACUUUGUUAGUUCAAGUGUCUUUAUAACUAUGAAGAAGAACAAAAGAAAAUGCUUUGAGUGUGGUUCUUUGCCUGCCGAUGAUCCAGAGAAGACCCUACAGAGAUUACCGAAACUUGAUUCUACAAAUUUAGUCUCCGUAAUGUCCAGAUAAUCAAUGAUUAGACCAUUGGACUUUUAGAAUAAAUUUUACAUUGAACUAUGAAUGGUUUGUCAUCUACAUUUUUAAAAAAGACGAGAUGUUUUGCCUGUGAGUAGAAGAGAGAGAGAGAAUAAGAAGCAAUCCUGCUUCUUCACAUGAAUUUUACCCGCAUGAUGACGGUUUUUAAUAUAAAAAAUAUUUACACAAUGUCUCAAAAAGCAAUCAAAGCUUUGAAAAACACAAAAACAAUGUUCGCAGAAGUUCAGUACCAACAAACUCACAAAAAAUGAGCCCAAAUUUAGCAUUACUUGCAAGCCAGACUAAGAAAUUUCAAGAAGAUAAUUUAAAAGAAGACAAUAGAAUAAAAUAAUAUUAACACACAAUGCUUAGCAAAUAUAGCAUUAACAGAUGGAAACCAGGCAAUAGGUGUAGCAAAAUAGAAGAUGAAGGUCUAGCUGUGCCAGUCAGUGCUAAGCCACACACACACACCUGCUUCAUCGUUAUUAUCAACCUAUUUUAACGGCAUUACAGGGCCAGGCCUUAUAGAAAAGUGAUUAUGGAGCUGAGACCCACCACACUGCUCCAAUGCUGUUGGUGGGCUUAGGGUGAUAAUGUUCAAUUAUUUAAUAACCACUAUCUGAUGCUAAUGAUAAUAAUCGGGAUUGAAGGCUUCCAAACUCCAAGAUGAGAAUUUAACUGAAUUAUUUUUAACCGACUUCUGUUUAUAUAAUGAUUUAUUUAUUUUGCUAUCAUCCGCGAAAAGUCGAGGAACCCAUGCGACAACGUCACCCAGGUCCGACAAAAUACUCUCUACGUACGUUUCACCCCGAGUAGAGAGUAUUUUGUCGGACCUGGGUGACGUUAUCGCAUGGGUUCGUCGACUUUUCGCGGAUGAUAGCAAAAUAAAUAAAUCAUUAUAAAAUCAUGAUGAACUUCCGCAAAGUAACGCCUGCUUCUAUCAUAGACUUCUAUGUUUUUAUUUUCAUAAUCUAUUCUUCACUUUUUCCACUUAAUAAAAUUCUUUUAGUUUUUAUUUGUUUUUUAACUGGUGAAAAAACAUAAAAUUUAUUCUUUAUGUUUAAUUUUUCAGGUGUAGCAAAAUAGAAGAUGAAGGUCUAGCUGUGCCAGUCAGUGCUGAGCCACACAGUUGCUGCUGGCAUGUUUGCAAAAUAGCACAAGGUGUAGCAAAAUAGAAGAUGAAGGUCUAGCUGUGCCAGUCAGUGCUGAGCCACACAGUUGCUGCUGGCAUGUUUGCAAAAUAGCACAAGGUAACCUCCUUCAUCAUCAUUAUCAGCCUAUUUUAACG